rnacentral:rRNA from 1 species
GUGAACGCUGGCGGUAGGCCUAACCCCUGCAAGUCGAACGGUAGCACAGUAAGCGCUUGCUCUUACGGGUGGCGAGUGGCGGACGGGUGAGGAAUACAUCGGAAUCUACUUUUUCGUGGGGGAUAACGUAGGGAAACUUACGCUAAUACCGCAUACGACCUACGGGUGAAAGCAGGGGAUCUUCGGACCUUGCGCGAUUGAAUGAGCCGAUGUCGGAUUAGCUAGUUGGCGGGGUAAAGGCCCACCAAGGCGACGAUCCGUAGCUGGUCUGAGAGGAUGAUCAGCCACACUGGAACUGAGACACGGUCCAGACUCCUACGGGAGGCAGCAGUGGGGAAUAUUGGACAAUGGGCGCAAGCCUGAUCCAGCCAUACCGCGUGGGUGAAGAAGGCCUUCGGGUUGUAAAGCCCUUUUGUUGGGAAAGAAAAGCAGCAGGUUAAUACCCCGCUGUUCUGACGGUACCCAAAGAAUAAGCACCGGCUAACUUCGUG